rnacentral:rRNA from 1 species
GUAGGGGAGCGUCGUGUGGGCAGUGAAGUCGCGGUGUAAACCAGCGGUGGAGCCCACACGAGUGAGAAUGCAGGCAUGAGUAGCGAAAGACGAGUGAGAAACCCGUCCGCCGAAUGAUCAAGGGUUCCAGGGUCAAGCUAAUCUGCCCUGGGUAAGUCGGGACCUAAGGCGAGGCCGACAGGCGUAGUCGAUGGACAACGGGUUGAUAUUCCCGUACCGGUGAAGAACCGCCAAUAUUGAACCAAUGAUACUAACCACCCAAACCAUCACUGAGUGUCUUUCGGGACCAGGGUGUGUGGGGAGCGUGGGACCUGAGUUGGGGAUGUAAACGUAUUAACAGGUGUGACGCAGGAAGGUAGCCGAGCCGGGCGAUGGUAGUCCCGGUCUAAGGAUGUAGGAAACACGAUAGGCAAAUCCGUUGUGUUGUCUUUAAUGACGAUUCUGAGAUCUGAUGGGACCCCCGUUUGGGGGAAUUCGGUGAUCCUAUGCUGCCUAGAAAAGCAUCGACGUGAGGUUCUAACUGCCCGUACCCUAAACCGACACAGGUGAUCAGGUAGAGAAUACUAAGGCGAUCGAGAGAAUUAUGGUUAAGGAACUCGGCAAAAUGCCCCCGUAACUUCGGGAGAAGGGGGGCCUGCCUCGUGAAAGAACCUAGCGUUCUGGAGCGGGUGUGGGCCGCAGAGACCAGGGGGAAGCGACUGUUUACUAAAAACACAGGUCCGUGCGAAGUCGCAAGACGAUGUAUACGGACUGACUCCUGCCCGGUGCUGGAAGGUUAAGAGGACCGGUUAGCUCUUUGGAGCGAAGCUGAGAAUUUAAGCCCCAGUAAACGGCGGUGGUAACUAUAACCAUCCUAAGGUAGCGAAAUUCCUUGUUCGGGUAAGUUCCGACCUGCACGAAUGGAGUAACGACUUCCCCGCUGUCUCAACCAUGAACUCGGCGAAAUUGCACUACGAGUAAAGAUGCUCGUUACGCGCAGCAGGACGGAAAGACCCCGAGACCUUUACUAUAGUUUGGUAUUGGUGUUCGGUGCAGCUUGUGUAGGAUAGGUGGGAGACUGUGAAGCUCGGACGCUAGUUCGGGUGGAGUCAUCGUUGAAAUACCACUCUGGCUGUACCGGUCACCUAACUUCGGCCCAUGAUCUGGGUCAGGGACAGUGCCUGAUGGGUAGUUUAACUGGGGCGGUUGCCUCCUAAAAAGUAACGGAGGCGCCCAAAGGUUCCCUCAGCCUGGUUGGCAAUCAGGUGUCGAGUGUAAGUGCACAAGGGAGCUUGACUGUGAGAGCGACAGCUCGAGCAGGGACGAAAGUCGGGACUAGUGAUCCGGCGGCACGUUGUGGAACGGCCGUCGCUCAACGGAUAAAAGGUACCUCGGGGAUAACAGGCUGAUCUUGCCCAAGAGUCCAUAUCGACGGCAUGGUUUGGCACCUCGAUGUCGGCUCGUCGCAUCCUGGGGCUGGAGUAGGUCCCAAGGGUUGGGCUGUUCGCCCAUUAAAGCGGUACGCGAGCUGGGUUUAGAACGUCGUGAGACAGUUCGGUCCCUAUCCGCUGCGCGCGCAGGAAAUUUGAGAAGAGCUGUCCUUAGUACGAGAGGACCGGGACGGACGAACCUCUGGUGUGUCAGUUGUACUGCCAAGUGCACCGCUGAUUAGCUACGUUCGGAAGGGAUAACCGCUGAAAGCAUCUAAGCGGGAAGCCCACUUCGAGAUGAGAUUUCCAUACACUUUUGAGUGUGAGAGGCCCCCAGCCAGACCACUGGGUUGAUAGGCAGGAUGUGGAAGCGAGGACUAAAGACUCGUGAAGCUGACCUGUACUAAUAGGCC